rnacentral:misc_RNA from 1 species
GAUGAAGAACGCAGCGAAAUGCGAUACGUAAUGUGAAUUGCAAAUUCAGUGAAUCAUCGAAUCUUUGAACGGACAUUGCGCCCCUUGGUAUUCCAUGGGGCAUGCCUGUUCGAGCGUCAUCUACACCCUCAAGCUCUGCUUGGUGUUGGGCGUCUGUCCCGCCUUUGCGCGCGGACUCGCCCCAAAUUCAUUGGCAGCGGUUUUUGCCUCCUCUCGCGCAGCACAAUUGCGUCUGCGAGGGGGCGUGAGUCGCGUCCACGAAGCAACAUUACCGUCUUUGACCUCGGAUCAGGUAGGGAUACCCGCUGAACUUAAGCAUAUCAAUAAGCGGAGGA